rnacentral:rRNA from 1 species
CAAUAGCGUAUACUAACGUUGUUGCAGUUAAAAGCUCGUAGUUGGAUUUCUGUAUUGGUUAGCAGGCCGGCUCUUACGAGUUGUAGCCUUGUUUAAUCGAUGCAUCUUGUCACAAUAGGUACUGACAUUCGCUUGUUGGUGUUCUGGACUGACUCGUUUACUUUGAGAAAAUUAGAGUGUUCAAAGCAGGCUAUCGCCUUGAAUAUAUUAGCAUGGAAUAAUGAUAUAGGACUUUGGUUCUAUUUUGUUGGUUGUUCGAGGACCGAAGUAAUGAUUGAUAGGGACAGUUGGGGGCAUCGAGUAUUCUGAAGCGAGAGGUGAAAUUGCUUGGAACCUUCGGAAGACUAACAACUGCGAAAGCAUUUGCCUAGGAUGUUCUCUUUAAUCAAGUAACGAAAGUUGGGGGAUCGAAGGACGAUUA